AGUGAACGCUGGCGGUAGGCCUAACACAUGCAAGUCGAACGGCAGCACAGGAGAGCUUGCUCUCUGGGUGGCGAGUGGCGGACGGGUGAGGAAUGCAUCGGAAUCUACUCUUUCGUGGGGGAUAACGUAGGGAAACUUACGCUAAUACCGCAUACGACCUACGGGUGAAAGCCGGGGACCUUCGGGCCUGGCGCGAAUGAAUGAGCCGAUGCCCGAUUAGCUAGUUGGCGGGGUAAGAGCCCACCAAGGCGACGAUCGGUAGCUGGUCUGAGAGGAUGAUCAGCCACACUGGAACUGAGACACGGUCCAGACUCCUACGGGAGGCAGCAGUGGGGAAUAUUGGACAAUGGGCGCAAGCCUGAUCCAGCCAUACCGCGUGGGUGAAGAAGGCCUUCGGGUUGUAAAGCCCUUUUGUUGGGAAAGAAAAGCAGUCGGUUAAUACCCGAUUGUUCUGACGGUACACAAAGAAUAAGCACCGGCUAACUUCGUGCCAGCCGCCGCUGUAAAAC
rnacentral:rRNA from 1 species